AUGUCGAGUCGCGCGCGAUUUGUGUCGGCAACCUUUUCGUUCAAUUGCUGUUGACGUUUUGAUUUCUGCGUUCAUUGAAUUUCAAUAUCUGUCAGUGGUGAUGCAAAACAGUGUUUACAAUAUUGGCGCAUCUGUUUCUAUGAACGAACGAGAUGAAAUGCCAUCAAUAUGCAAGUUCUCUUGAUAUACCGUCCGGGAAGAGUGCUGAAUUGGUCAAGGAUGCGUAUAAUAUUGGAGAUUGAGCAAGAAGCACAGAAUCCGCUGGAUGUGUUUUUUCCAAGUUAACAGCAAUUGUUGCUGUCUGUUGUUAUCAGCGAGCCGAAAUAAGUAUGUUAGAUAGCCUAAGAUUGGAUAAUUCUGGUCAGAUUUCCCGGGAAACCGUUAUCAUCCCUGAUUCUCGAUUGUACCAUGUGCGAAGGUGCGGUCUGCGAAUAUGUGACCCCUGGGAGAAUUUUUUAUAUUUAGCGUUAGUGUAUACAUAAAUCAUUCUUUAGAAGAAUUGUUGAAAAUUUUUCUGUUUUCUUUAUAUAAUUCUUUUCGGCUGUAUUCUUAUUUCAAUGAUUUUUUUAUGUUUGUAAAUAUUGUUUGCUGGUUUGUGGUAUUACUCCAACGAAAAAUAAAUAUAUACAUCCAU